UAUCUCUGUAGAGUCUGCAUAUCAAUAAGCGGAGGAAAAGAAACUAACAAGGAUUCCCCUUAGUAACGGCGAGUGAAGCGGGAAGAGCUCAAAUUUGAAAUCUUCAAGGGUUUACCUUUACGAAUUGUAGUUUAAAGAAGUGUUUUCUGUUGGAAGUUUCGGUAAAAGUUCUUUGGAAUAGGUACAUCAUAGAGGGUGAGAAUCCCGUAUUUGACCGUUACUUUUCAGCUGUGUGAUACACUUUCAAAGAGUCGGAUUGUUUGGGAAUGCAGUCCAAAAUGGGUGGUAAAUUUCAUCUAAAGCUAAAUAUUCGGCGAGAGACCGAUAGCGAACAAGUACCGUGAGGGAAAGAUGAAAAGAACUUUGAAAAGAGAGUUAAACAGUACGUGAAAUUGUCAAAAGGGAAGCGUUUGACACCAGUGUUGUUUCCGUCGAAAAUCAAUUAAAUAAUGUCUUGAUUUUGUAGUUAGUAUUGACCUUCAUAAGCUUGCUGCUCUCUUUUUCAUGUCUUUUUUAAUGCACUUUUCGUUUAACAAGUCAACAUCAGUUUCUUUUGUUGUAAAAAGGUCAUUGGAAGGUGGCUUUCUUUUCGGAGAAAGUGUUUAUAGCCUUUGACUCCUGCAAUCGGAGAGACUGAGGUCCGCAGCGUAGAUCCUUUUGGAUUAGAUUCAUUUGUGCUAAGUUAUAGCUUUUUAUAGACAACAUGUUGACUAUAUUUAGUCUUGUAACUUACUCGCUUAUGUAAUUUUACCUACGCUUAGGAUGUUGAACGCGCACAGAGUCUC
rnacentral:rRNA from 1 species